rnacentral:rRNA from 1 species
GACGAACGCUGGCGGCGCGCCUAACACAUGCAAGUCGAACGAGCGAGAGAGAGCUUGCUUUCUUGAGCGAGUGGCGAACGGGUGAGUAACGCGUGAGGAACCUGCCUCAAAGAGGGGGACAACAGUUGGAAACGACUGCUAAUACCGCAUAAGCCCACGGUGCCGCAUGGCACAGAGGGAAAAGGAGCAAUCCGCUUUGAGAUGGCCUCGCGUCCGAUUAGCUAGUUGGUGAGGUAACGGCCCACCAAGGCGACGGUCGGUAGCCGGACUGAGAGGUUGAACGGCCACAUUGGGACUGAGACACGGCCCAGACUCCUACGGGAAGCAGCAGUGGGGAAUAUUGCACAAUGGGGGAAACCCUGAUGCAGCGACGCCGCGUGGAGGAAGAAGGUCGUCGGAUUGUAAACUCCUGUUGUUGGGGAAGAUAAUGACGGUACCCAACAAGGAAGUGACGGCUAACUACGUG